CCUACGGGAGGCAGCAGUGGGGAAUUUUGGACAAUGGGCGCAAGCCUGAUCCAGCAAUGCCGCGUGAGUGAAGAAGGCCUUCGGGUUGUAAAGCUCUUUUGUCAGGGAAGAAACGGCUGAGGCUAAUAUCCUCGGCUAAUGACGGUACCUGAAGAAUAAGCACCGGCUAACUACGUGCCAGCAGCCGCGGUAAUACGUAGGGUGCAAGCGUUAAUCGGAAUUACUGGGCGUAAAGCGUGCGCAGGCGGUUUUGUAAGUCUGUCGUGAAAGCCCCGGGCUUAACCUGGGAAUUGCGAUGGAGACUGCAAGGCUUGAAUCUGGCAGAGGGGGGUAGAAUUCCACGUGUAGCAGUGAAAUGCGUAGAGAUGUGGAGGAACACCGAUGGCGAAGGCAGCCCCCUGGGUCAAGAUUGACGCUCAUGCACGAAAGCGUGGGGAGCAAACAGGAUUAGAUACCCUGGUAGUCCACGCCCUAAACGAUGUCUACUAGUUGUCGGGUCUUAAUUGACUUGGUAACGCAGCUAACGCGUGAAGUAGACCGCCUGGGGAGUACGGUCGCAAGAUUAAAACUCAAAAUGAAAUUGACGG
rnacentral:rRNA from 1 species